rnacentral:rRNA from 1 species
UACAGAGGUCUCAAGCGUUGUUCGGAUUCAUUGGGCGUAAAGGGUGCGUAGGCGGCGCCGUAAGUCUGGUGUGAAAUCCCGGGGCUUAACCCCGGAACUGCACUGGAUACUGCGGUGCUUGAGGACUGGAGAGGAGAUUGGAAUUCACGGUGUAGCAGUGAAAUGCGUAGAUAUCGUGAGGAAGACCAGUGGCGAAGGCGGAUCUCUGGGCCUUACCUGACGCUCAGGUGCGAAAGCUAGGGGAGCGAACAUG